rnacentral:rRNA from 1 species
CGAGUAACACGUAUCUAACCUGCCCUUGAGUGAGGCACAACUAUGGAGACAUAGCUAAUUCCUCAUACGUCCCGAUAAAUGAAAUAAUCGGGAGAAAGAUUAUCGCUCAAGGAGGGGGGUGCGGCCUAUCAGGUAGUUGGUGAGGUAAUGGCUCACCAAGCCUAUGACGGGUAGCCGGUCUGAGAGGAUGUCCGGCCGCAAUGGAACUGAGAACGGUCCAUACUCCUACGGGAGGCAGCAGUGGGGAAUAUUGGACAAUGGCGAAAGCCUGAUCCAGCGAUUCUGCGUGAAGGAUGAAGCCUCGUGGGGUGUAAACUUCUUUCUGGGAGAAGACGAAUGACGGUAUCUCAGGAAUAAGAGACGGCUAACUACGUG